UACAGAGACUGCAAGCGUUAUUCGGAUUCACUGGGCGUAAAGGGUGCGCAGGCGGUUGGGUGUGUCAGAUGUGAAAUCCCGAGGCUCAACCUCGGAACUGCGUCUGAAACUACUCGACUAGAGUACUGGAGAGGGUAACGGAAGUUCACGGUGUAGCAGUGAAAUGUGUAGAGAUCGGGAGGAACACCGGUGGCGAAGGCGGGUCUCUGGGGCAAUUCCUGACGCUGAGGCGCGAAAGCGUGGGGAGCAAACGGG
rnacentral:rRNA from 1 species